CAGGCUCCCCUCCCGGAGUGCGGGCAUCUCUGGCUCCCGAUUCGCGCUGCUGCGGGCCGGGGCGGUCCGGCUUUACUGCGGGCGGCUCUGCGGCUUCGGUGUCCUCCGUUUGGUAACCUGAUAAGAAGUCAGUGCUUGUCCUCCAAGUUUUUCUCUUUUUCUUGAAGGCAAACUUCUGUUUACGUAAUUUGUUUGUCCUCGUUAGCCAUGGAGUCCAUCAGAGACUCUAAGUGGUGCCUACAGGAAAGGCAUGCAAGAUGUUUAUGCAAGAGCCCAGAAAAGACGUGAUCUGCACCAGAGAGCUUCCUCAACCCUGCUGCGAGCAGCUGAGGGUCCCUGCGUGGUUAAAGCGAUGCCUGGUGCUUGGCCCUCGUGUGCAGCAA